GUCCGGGGCUCAAACUUACCACCGAAGCUAUGGGUGUACACUAUGUGUACGCGGUAGAGGAGCUUUCUGUAUGGGUUGAAGUCGUACCGUAAGGAGCGGUGGACUGUACAGAAGUGAGAAUGCUGGCAUAAGUAGCGAGAAAUAAGUGAGAAUCUUAUUGGCCGAAAACCUAAGGUUUCCUGAGGAAGGUUCGUCCGCUCAGGGUUAGUCGGGACCUAAGCCGAGGCCGAAAGGCGUAGGUGAUGGACAAUCGGUUGAUAUUCCGAUACCACCUAUUUACGUUUGAGAAAUGGGGUGACGCAGUAGGAUAAGAUGUGCGCACUAUUGGAUGUGCGUCUAAGCACUUAGGCAUGCUUGAUAGGCAAAUCCGUCGAGCUAAGCUGAGGUGUGAUGGGGAGCCAUUUAUGGCGAAGUAUCUGAUUCCACACUGCCAAGAAAAGCCUCUAUCGAGUGAAUAGGUGCCCGUACCGCAAACCGACACAGGUAGGUGAGGAGAGAAUCCUAAGGCCAUCGGAAGAAUUGCUGUUAAGGAACUCGGCAAAUUGACCCCGUAACUUCGGGAGAAGGGGUGCCUACGAAAGUAGGCCGCAGAGAAUAGGCCCAAGCAACUGUUUAGCAAAAACACAGGUCUCUGCUAAAGCGAAAGCUGAUGUAUAGGGGCUGACGCCUGCCCGGUGCUGGAAGGUUAAGGGGAACACUUAGCGUAAGCGAAGGUGUGAACUUAAGCCCCAGUAAACGGCGGCCGUAACUAUAACGGUCCUAAGGUAGCGAAAUUCCUUGUCGGGUAAGUUCCGACCCGCACGAAUGGCGUAAUGAUUUGGGCACUGUCUCAACAGCAAAUCCGGCGAAAUUGUAGUGCAAGUGAAGAUGCUUGCUACCCGCGAUUGGACGGAAAGACCCCGUAGAGCUUUACUGUAGCUUAGCAUUGAAUCUCGGUAUUGUCUGUACAGGAUAGGUGGGAGACUUGGAAACUUGGGCGUCAGCCUGAGUGGAGUCAUCCUUGGGAUACCACCCUGACAGUACUGGGGUUCUAACCGGCGGCCAUGAAUCUGGUCACGGGACAUUGUUAGGUGGGCAGUUUGACUGGGGCGG
rnacentral:rRNA from 1 species